AUUGAACGCUGGCGGCAUGCCUUACACAUGCAAGUCGAACGGCAGCACGGGAGCAAUCCUGGUGGCGAGUGGCGAACGGGUGAGUAAAGUAUCGGAACGUGCCCAGUCGUGGGGGAUAACGUAGCGAAAGUUACGCUAAUACCGCAUACGAUCUAUGGAUGAAAGCGGGGGAUCGCAAGACCUCGCGCGAUUGGAGCGGCCGAUAUCAGAUUAGGUAGUUGGUGGGGUAAAGGCUCACCAAGCCGACGAUCUGUAGCUGGUCUGAGAGGACGACCAGCCACACUGGGACUGGAACACGGCCCAGACUCCUACGGGAGGCAGCAGUGGGGAAUUUUUGGACAAUGGGCGAAAGCCUGAUCCAGCCAUGCCGCGUGCAGGAUGAAGGCCUUCGGGUUGUAAACUGCUUUUGUACGGAGCGAAAAGGCUCUCUCUAAUACAGGGGGCUGAUGACGGUACCGUAAGAAUAAGCACCGGCUAACUACGUGCCAGCCGCCGCGGUAA
rnacentral:rRNA from 1 species